rnacentral:lncRNA from 1 species
CUCUCUCGCAAUCCUCUGCAUCCUACUUUCUCACAAAGUCUAAAAUAAUAUUUCAUUUGAGUUUGCCGCAAGGUUGAAACCACAAAAAACCAGGCAAAUAAUAAAACCGUCACCCUUAUGUCUCUCUGCGUCUUGUAUUCUCACAAAGCCCCUGCCCCUCUCUCGCAAUCCUCUGCAUCCUACCUUCUCACAAAGUCUGAAAUAAUAUUUCAUUUGAGUUUGCUGCAGGAUUGAAAUCACCAAAAACCAAACAAAUAAUAAAACUGUCACCCUUAUGUCUCUUUGCGUUCUGUGUUCUCACAAAGUCCCUGCCCCUCUCUCGCAAUCCUCUACGUCCUACCUUCUCAUAAAGUCUGAAAUAAUAUUUCAUUUGAGUUUGCCGCAGGGUUGAAACCACAAAAAACCAGACAAAUAAUAAAACCGUCACCCUUAUGUCUCUCUGCGUCCUGUGUUCUCACAAAGCCCCUGCCCCUCUCUCGCAAUCCUCUGCAUCCUACCUUCUCACAAAGUCUGUCAAAGCUCUGCCUUCUCACAAAGCCCUCUUGCCACCCUUGCCCCUCUCUUGCAAUUCUCUAUGUCUUACCUUCUCACAAAGCCCUGCCCCUCUCUCAAAGCCUUGCUUGCUCUCUCUGAAAGCCUCCCUUACCUCUCUCUCAACCCUCUAUGCCCUUCCUUCUCACAGAUCCACAAGCUGAGGCUGUUGAUGACUCCAUGAGAUUGUUGUUUUUUUUUUUUUUUUUUGUGUUGGGUAUAGAAAUUAUAUUUGAACCUGUCAAAAAAAUCUUGGGUACUGGUUUUUACUGUUUUAUUUUUCUUGGUUUUUGCUUUUAGAUUUUUAUUCCCCCAUGGAAGCAGCUUUUUUUUUAUAGAAUACUUUUGACUUCCUAGUUCUAUUGCAAUAAGAUCCCAAUAGGGAAAAAAUCAAGAUUUAUUUGUUUUGUGCAGUAAUUCGAUUAAAACUCACUUUGUAUUUAUAUUUAUUGGAUUGGUCAAUGGAUAAUGAUCAAGUGGAGCUGGCUCUGCA